GAUGAACGCUGGCGGCGUGCCUAAUACAUGCAAGUCGAGCGAACAGACGAGGAGCUUGCUCCUCUGACGUUAGCGGCGGACGGGUGAGUAACACGUGGAUAACCUACCUAUAAGACUGGGAUAACUUCGGGAAACCGGAGCUAAUACCGGAGAAUAUAUUGAACCGCAUGGUUCAAUAGUGAAAGACGGUUUUGCUGUCACUUAUAGAUGGAUCCGCGCCGCAUUCGCUAGUUGGUAAGGUAACGGCUUACCAAGGCAACGAUGGGUAGCCGACCUGAGAGGGUCAUCCACCACAUUGGAAGUGAGACUCGGCACAGACUCCUACGGUAGGCAGCGGUAGGGAAUCCUACGCGAGGGGGGAAAGGCGGAUGGAGCAACGUGGCGGGAGUGAUGAAGGUCUUCGGAUGGGAAAGCUAUGUUAGUAGGGAAGAACAAAUGUGUAAGUAACCAUGCACGUAUUGACGGUACCGAAUCAGAAAGCCACGGCUAACUACGUG
rnacentral:rRNA from 1 species